AAACGACUGUGUUUUGGAUAUAAUGUUGGGUUAGAACGCUUCAUCUUCACAAGAAGACUCUUUCCCCUCUUCUUCGUUGACGGUGCCGAUUAUCUCUUCACCAUCACCGCCAUUCCAUCCUCCGAUUACAGCAAUAGCCUUGUGUCACUCUAUUCAUCCUCGUUACUUCAACCUCAACCCUUAGACGUAGUCUCAUCACUUCUGUCUUCUUCUUCUUCUUCCGAUCGUCACCGUGCCAUGGAAGUCGGGAUAACACUAUCUUCUCACACCAGUUUCACAAAUGGCGGUCCUAUCAUCACCUCUCCUUCUUCUUAUUCAAUUGGUCAUGUUUGGAGUGUUCAUGAAAGACGCAGAUUGAAGAUGAUGUUCUUGCGUUUGUUGAUGCAUAGAGAAAUUGCAAAUGAACAUGGAUGA